AGCGAACGCUGGCGGCAGGCCUAACACAUGCAAGUCGAACGAACUCUUCGGAGUUAGUGGCGGACGGGUGAGUAACACGUGGGAACGUGCCUUUAGGUUCGGAAUAACUCAGGGAAACUUGUGCUAAUACCGAGUGUGCCCUUCGGGGGAAAGAUUUAUCGCCUUUAGAGCGGCCCGCGUCUGAUUAGCUAGUUGGUGAGGUAAAGGCUCACCAAGGCGACGAUCAGUAGCUGGUCUGAGAGGAUGAUCAGCCACAUUGGGACUGAGACACGGCCCAAACUCCUACGGGAGGCAGCAGUGGGGAAUCUUGCGCAAUGGGCGAAAGCCUGACGCAGCCAUGCCGCGUGAAUGAUGAAGGUCUUAGGAUUGUAAAAUUCUUUCACCGGGGACGAUAAUGACGGUACCCGGAGAAGAAGCCCCGGCUAACUUCAUGCCAGCCGCCGCCGUAA
rnacentral:rRNA from 1 species